UACGUAGGUGGCAAGCGUUGUCCGGAUUUAUUGGGUUUAAAGGGUGCGUAGGCGGUUUUAUAAGUCAGUGCUGAAAUAUCCCGGCUUAACCGGGAGGGUGGCAUUGAUACUGUAGGACUUGAGUAAAGUUGAGGUAGGCGGAAUUGACGGUGUAGCGGUGAAAUGCUUAGAUAUCGUCAAGAACACCGAUAGUGAAGACAGCUUACUAAACUUUAACUGACGCUGAGGCACGAAAGUGUGGGGAUCAAACAGG
rnacentral:rRNA from 1 species